rnacentral:rRNA from 1 species
AUACGGAGGGUGCAAGCGUUAAUCGGAAUUACUGGGCGUAAAGCGUACGUAGGCGGUCCGUUAAGUUAGAUGUGAAAGCCCCGGGCUUAACCUGGGAACUGCAUUUAAAACUGGCGGACUAGAGUUGGGUAGAGGGGAGUGGAAUUUCAGGUGUAGCGGUGAAAUGCGUAGAGAUCUGAAGGAACACCAGUGGCGAAGGCGACUCCCUGGACUCGAACUGACGCUGAGGUACGAAAGCGUGGGUAGCAAACGGGAUUAGAAACCCGUGUAGUCC